rnacentral:pre_miRNA from 1 species
AGGAUAGGAAGUGACAGAAGAGAGGGAGCAUAGAUUCCUUUAUUUAGGUUUUCCAUCUGGUUUAAGUUGGAUUCUCUUGGUUAAACCUUUGGCUGUGCACACAAACAAGUUCCUUCU